rnacentral:rRNA from 1 species
UACGGGGGGAGCAAGCGUUGUUCGGAUUUACUGGGCGUAAAGGGCUCGUAGGCGGCUUGGCAAGUCGGAUGUGAAAACUCCAGGCUCAACCUGGAGCCGCCAUUCGAUACUGCUAUGGCUAGAGUCCGGUAGGGGAGUGUGGAAUUCCCGGUGUAGCGGUGAAAUGCGCAGAUAUCGGGAGGAACACCGAUGGCGAAGGCAGCACUCUGGGCCGGCACUGACGCUGAGGAGCGAAAGCGUGGGGAGCGAACAGG